CUAUCGAUAGAGCUUUAUUUGAAGUAAACAUAACCAAGGAGAGUUGGAACAUAUGUGCAUGCGUAAAAUUUAUAUCACGCGCCUUAAGUCGAAUUCACAUAAUCACGUGUGAUGUACCUUCCAUCACUGUCUGGUGGUAUAAUAAUUAUAAGAUAAAUAACGACGAGGAGUGAUACGUAUGCAUAAUAGACAUCAGUUCUCUUAGAACUCGUUAGUAAUGAUGUCUUUAAUUUAUUCAUAGUACGCAGUUAUCAUACAGUAGUUCCAUCCAUAGUAUUUUUUCUUAUUAUUUUUUAUUUUUAGUUCAAUGUUCAAUAUUCGAUGUUGCACGUGAGUGGCAAGAUAUGAGAAAGAUACUGAAAUCAGUAGUGUAUUUAGGGCAGCAAUUUUGGUUGAUUUAGAUUGUUUUUGUAAUAUAAUAUGUAUAAUAAACUAGAUUGCUAAUUAGCCUAUAUAGUCUAUAUAUUUCGUUUGAAGUCAACAUCUGUCAUUUAAAUUGAGGCCAGAACGCCUUAUUA